AUACUUUUCUCGGUAUUUUAAUUAAGUCAAAGUGUAAUAUUUAUUCUUAUCAAUUUCAUAUUUGGUAUGUAGACUAUAUUUUUACUUUGAUAUUAAAUUUAUUUUUUAUGGCUUACUGGGUCCUCACGUAUCGAUUAGCUAUUCCACUACUAAUAGGGUCUAGCCCACCCCAA
rnacentral:snRNA from 1 species